AUACGAACCGUACGAACGUUAUUCGGAAUCACUGGGCUUAAAGAGUGCGUAGGCGGCUUGGAAAGUUGGGUGUGAAAUCCCUCGGCUCAACCGAGGAAUUGCGCCCAAAACUGUCAAGCUUGAGGGAGAUAGAGGUAAGCGGAACUAAUGGUGGAGCGGUGAAAUGCGUUGAUAUCAUUAGGAACACCUGAGGCGAAAGCAGCUUACUGGGUCUCUUCUGACGCUGAGGCACGAAAGCUAGGGGAGCGAACGGGAUUAGAAACCCUAGUAGUCC
rnacentral:rRNA from 1 species